rnacentral:rRNA from 1 species
GACGAACGCUGGCGGCGUGCCUAAUACAUGCAAGUCGAACGCUUCUUUCCUCCCGAGUGCUUGCACUCAAUUGGAAAGAGGAGUGGCGGACGGGUGAGUAACACGUGGGUAACCUACCCAUCAGAGGGGGAUAACACUUGGAAACAGGUGCUAAUACCGCAUAACAGUUUAUGCCGCAUGGCAUAAGAGUGAAAGGCGCUUUCGGGUGUCGCUGAUGGAUGGACCCGCGGUGCAUUAGCUAGUUGGUGAGGUAACGGCUCACCAAGGCCACGAUGCAUAGCCGACCUGGGAGGGUGAUCGGCCACACUGGGACGGAGACACGGCCCAGACUCCUACGGGAGGCAGCAGUAGGGAAUCUUCGGCAAUGGACGAAAGUCUGACCGAGCAACGCCGCGUGAGUGAAGAAGGUUUUCGGAUCGUAAAACUCUGUUGUUAGAGAAGAACAAGGACGUUAGUAACUGAACGUCCCCUGACGGUAUCUAACCAGAAAGCCACGGCUAACUACGUG